rnacentral:rRNA from 1 species
CCCGAAACCGGGCGAUCUAUCCAUGGGCAGGUUGAAGGUUAGGUAACACUGACUGGAGGACCGAACCGACUACCGUUGAAAAGUUAGCGGAUGACCUGUGGAUCGGAGUGAAAGGCUAAUCAAGCUCGGAGAUAGCUGGUUCUCCUCGAAAGCUAUUUAGGUAGCGCCUCGUGUAUCACUGCUGGGGGUAGAGCACUGUUUCGGCUAGGGGGUCAUCCCGACUUACCAACCCGAUGCAAACUCCGAAUACCAGCAAGUGUCAGCACGGGAGACACACGGCGGGUGCUAACGUCCGUCGUGAAAAGGGAAACAAC